AGUGAACGCUGGCGGUAGGCCUAACACAUGCAAGUCGAACGGCAGCACAGUAAGAGCUUGCUCUUACGGGUGGCGAGUGGCGGACGGGUGAGGAAUACAUCGGAAUCUACUUUUUCGUGGGGGAUAACGUAGGGAAACUUACGCUAAUACCGCAUACGACCCACGGGUGAAAGCAGGGGAUCUUCGGACCUUGCGCGAUUGAAUGAGCCGAUGUCGGAUUAGCUAGUUGGCGGGGUAAAGGCCCACCAAGGCGACGAUCCGUAGCUGGUCUGAGAGGAUGAUCAGCCACACUGGAACUGAGACACGGUCCAGACUCCUACGGGAGGCAGCAGUGGGGAAUAUUGGACAAUGGGCGCAAGCCUGAUCCAGCCAUACCGCGUGGGUGAAGAAGGCCUUCGGGUUGUAAAGCCCUUUUGUUGGGAAAGAAAAGCAGCAGGUUAAUACCCCGCUGUUCUGACGGUACCCAAAGAAUAGGCACCGGCUAACUUCGUG
rnacentral:rRNA from 1 species